AUUGAACGCUGGCGGCAGGCCUAACACAUGCAAGUCGAGCGGAUGAAGGGAGCUUGCUCCUGGAUUCAGCGGCGGACGGGUGAGUAAUGCCUAGGAAUCUGCCUGGUAGUGGGGGAUAACGUCCGGAAACGGGCGCUAAUACCGCAUACGUCCUGAGGGAGAAAGUGGGGGAUCUUCGGACCUCACGCUAUCAGAUGAGCCUAGGUCGGAUUAGCUAGUUGGUGGGGUAAAGGCCUACCAAGGCGACGAUCCGUAACUGGUCUGAGAGGAUGAUCAGUCACACUGGAAGUGAGACACGGUCCAGACUCCUACGGGAGGCAGCAGUGGGGAAUAUUGGACAAUGGGCGAAAGCCUGAUACAGCCAUGCCGCGUGUGUGAAGAAGGUCUUCGGAUUGUAAAGCACUUUAAGUUGGGGGGAAGGGCAGUAAGUUAAUACCUUGCUGUUUUGACGGUACCAACAGAAUAAGCACCGGCUAACUUCGUG
rnacentral:rRNA from 1 species